AGAUUGAACGCUGGCGGCAUGCUUUACACAUGCAAGUCGAACGGCAGCGCGGGGGCAACCCUGGCGGCGAGUGGCGAACGGGUGAGUAAUGUAUCGGAACGUAUCCUGUAAUGGGGGAUAACCAGUCGAAAGAUUGGGUAAUACCGCAUACGCACGAGAGUGGAAAGUAGGGGAUCGCAAGACCUUACGUUAUAGGAGCGGCCGAUAUCUGAUUAGCUAGUUGGUGGGGUAAAGGCCUACCAAGGCGACGAUCAGUAGCUGGCCUGAGAGGACGACCAGCCACACUGGGACUGAGACACGGCCCAGACUCCUACGGGAGGCAGCAGUGGGGAAUUUUGGACAAUGGGCGAAAGCCUGAUCCAGCCAUGCCGCGUGCAGGAAGAAGGCCUUCGGGUUGUAAACUGCUUUAGUCUAGGAAAAAGGGGUGCGAGGUUAAUACCCUCGUGCUUUGAUGGUACUGGAAGAAUAAGCACCGGCUAACUACGUG
rnacentral:rRNA from 1 species